ensembl:lncRNA novel transcript, antisense to FIGNL1
GUGCGUGCGUUCGGCGCGCGGGGCGUGGGCGCGGCACCUGGGCCCGGGCACCGCCACCUAGGCCCUAGCUCCGACCAGUGGUGUUCUAUAAACGCUUAUUACAUCAUUGUGCAUAGGCUUCAUUUUUAAAAGUACUCCCAAAUAAAUACAAGGAGGCGAUGGAAAUUGAAUGAAGAUUCGAAGGAUUCCCAUAGAGCGUGGCUCACUUCCCCUCACCGGGACAGCGAGCGGCGGCUCACCUGGGAGAGCAAAGCGUGGCUCUCCUGCGCCCACCCGGGAGAGCAAACAAUGGCUCACCUGCGCCCACCCGGGAGAGCAAGCGUGGCUCACCUGCGCCCACUCGGGAAAGCCAGCCGCCAUCCUGUGCUGCAGGCAGGGAGCGGGCGGCGGGAGAGGAGCGGAUCCACUUAGGUCAGCGGUUAAAACGUCGUUACAAGAGGCCACCCCGGCAUCGCGGGGCCUGUGGCUGCGCCCCCUCUUGAAUUCAGGCCUAGCACAUCACCUCCGCCCCUCGCACCCUGCAGUCUGCGCUCCAUACAGCACGUGAGCGGGUGCUCAGCAAUGUUCCCUGGCUGAAAGAACCGCAUAGAGUAGCAUGCAAAAAUGACAUGCAUGUUUAAGAUAAAAUAAGGGAGAGGACACCUGUUCUGACUGAGUCUGGCAACUCAGAUCUCCCCGCAGCCAACAUCUACAUUCCUUUGGACAGCUGUCUGCUGUGUAGGGACACCUCCCUGGAACUUUGAAAAGCACCCCAUCAUUACCUUCCACUUUGUUCUGGAGCAAGGUUUCAAAAGAAGAGUGCCGUAUUUUGAUUAAUUUAGUGAAUUGGAUUUUCAGACACAAGUAAGAGCAUCCACUCAGUGGCCUCUGCAGUAAAUAAUGAUAUCAGAUCACAUAACAAGAAGACUGGAGGUUGGCGGGAAAUCUGGACCUGGUGACUCAAAGAAGUCAUGAAGGACCAUCUCUCCAUUCUGCCACCUUCUCGCCUGUGGAUUUUCCUCCCCAGGCUUGUCACUUCAUUGUCGAGAGAUGCCCUCACAAUCCAAGCCAGGCAGCCUCACAUGACCAGAUCUAAAACACAAAGAGGGAGCCAAACUGAGAAAGGACCUUUUCCCUCUGAACACUUCUCUCUUGGAAAAAGAAAAUGUUUCCCAGAAAGCCUCAUAGCCUUCCUCUUAUAUCUCCUUGACUAACUGGGACCCGGAUCCCUGGAUAUCCUUUCCUGAGAAAGAGAGGGUCUGGGGCAGGGGAUAGAGAAAAUGACUAGCAACUAGCAGCACAUGAUGUUUAAACAUAAGAUUUAAAGAAAUGCAAGGCACAAACAAUUUGAAGACUUUUUUUAAGUUUUUAAAAUCUUCACAAAAUAAAAAGGAAUUGGACAAUGCACUUUAAAAACUAGAAGACGUUUCACUGAAAACAGCAUCUCCUAAUUCAUUUCAUGGCUUAGAUAGUAAUAGAAAAUUAUUUUAUUCUAAUUCCAUACUUUAUCAACUAAUUUUAAUUAUUUUAUAAUUACCCAAAAUAUGUCAUGUAGAAUGAAAAUAAAAGAAAAUGAAAACAGUUA